CUUAGCAUAACACAGAAUAAAGUCCUCAAUCGUCUAGCCAGGGAACAGCUACAGCACAGGCAGGUACAAAUUCUCCCACACUGCCCAGCAAAACUGCCUAAACCUGCACCUGAAGGGACUACUCUGCUGUGAGUGGUGUGUUCCAUCUCCAUGGCCCAUUCAAUGCUUGACUACU
ensembl:misc_RNA